rnacentral:rRNA from 1 species
AGAGUUUGAUCCUGGCUCAGGAUGAACGCUAGCUACAGGCUUAACACAUGCAAGUCGAGGGGCAGCAUGACCUAGCAAUAGGUUGAUGGCGACCGGCGCACGGGUGAGUAACACGUAUCCAACCUGCCGAUUAUUCCGGGAUAGCCUUUCGAAAGAAAGAUUAAUACUGGAUAGCAUAACGAGAAGGCAUCUUCUUGUUAUUAAAGAAUUUCGAUAAUCGAUGGGGAUGCGUUCCAUUAGUUUGUUGGCGGGGUAACGGCCCACCAAGACAUCGAUGGAUAGGGGUUCUGAGAGGAAGGUCCCCCACAUUGGAACUGAGACACGGUCCAAACUCCUACGGGAGGCAGCAGUGAGGAAUAUUGGUCAAUGGACGAGAGUCUGAACCAGCCAAGUAGCGUGAAGGAUGACUGCCCUAUGGGUUGUAAACUUCUUUUAUAUGGGAAUAAAGUGAGCCACGUGUGGCUUUUUGUAUGUACCAUACGAAUAAGGAUCGGCUAACUCCGUGCCAGCAGCCGCGGUAAUACGGAGGAUCCAAGCGUUAUCCGGAUUUAUUGGGUUUAAAGGGAGCGUAGGCGGAUUAUUAAGUCAGUUGUGAAAGUUUGCGGCUCAACCGUAAAAUUGCAGUUGAUACUGGUAGUCUUGAGUGCAGCAGAGGUAGGCGGAAUUCGUGGUGUAGCGGUGAAAUGCUUAGAUAUCACGAAGAACUCCGAUUGCGAAGGCAGCUUACUGGAUUGUAACUGACGCUGAUGCUCGAAAGUGUGGGUAUCAAACAGGAUUAGAUACCCUGGUAGUCCACACAGUAAACGAUGAAUACUCGCUGUUUGCGAUAUACAGUAAGCGGCCAAGCGAAAGCAUUAAGUAUUCCACCUGGGGAGUACGCCGGCAACGGUGAAACUCAAAGGAAU